rnacentral:rRNA from 1 species
GCCAUCAUUUAAAGAAAGCGUAAUAGCUCACUGGUCGAGUCGGCCUGCGCGGAAGAUGUAACGGGGCUAAACCAUGCACCGAAGCUGCGGCAGCGACACUGUGUGUUGUUGGGUAGGGGAGCGUUCUGUAAGCCUGUGAAGGUGUGUCGUGAGGCAUGCUGGAGGUAUCAGAAGUGCGAAUGCUGACAUAAGUAACGAUAAAGCGGGUGAAAAGCCCGCUCGCCGGAAGACCAAGGGUUCCUGUCCAACGUUAAUCGGGGCAGGGUGAGUCGACCCCUAAGGCGAGGCCGAAAGGCGUAGUCGAUGGGAAACGGGUUAAUAUUCCCGUACUUGGUGUUACUGCGAAGGGGGGACGGAGAAGGCUAUGUUGGCCGGGCGACGGUUGUCCCGGUUUAAGCGUGUAGGUGUGUGUUCCAGGUAAAUCCGGUUCACUUUAACACUGAGGCGUGACGACGAGGCACUACGGUGCUGAAGCAACAAAUGCCCUGCUUCCAGGAAAAGCCUCUAAGCAUCAGGUAACAUCAAAUCGUACCCCAAACCGACACAGGUGGUCAGGUAGAGAAUACCAAGGCGCUUGAGAGAACUCGGGUGAAGGAACUAGGCAAAAUGGUGCCGUAACUUCGGGAGAAGGCACGCUGACACGUAGGUGAAGUGAUUUACUCAUGGAGCUGAAGUCAGUCGAAGAUACCAGCUGGCUGCAACUGUUUAUUAAAAACACAGCACUGUGCAAACACGAAAGUGGACGUAUACGGUGUGACGCCUGCCCGGUGCCGGAAGGUUAAUUGAUGGGGUCAGCGCAAGCGAAGCUCCUGAUCGAAGCCCCGGUAAACGGCGGCCGUAACUAUAACGGUCCUAAGGUAGCGAAAUUCCUUGUCGGGUAAGUUCCGACCUGCACGAAUGGCGUAAUGAUGGCCAGGCUGUCUCCACCCGAGACUCAGUGAAAUUGAACUCGCUGUGAAGAUGCAGUGUACCCGCGGCAAGACGGAAAGACCCCGUGAACCUUUACUAUAGCUUGACACUGAACAUUGAGCCUUGAUGUGUAGGAUAGGUGGGAGGCUUUGAAGUGUGGACGCCAGUCUGCAUGGAGCCGACCUUGAAAUACCACCCUUUAAUGUUUGAUGUUCUAACGUGGACCCGUUACCCGGGUUGCGGACAGUGUCUGGUGGGUAGUUUGACUGGGGCGGUCUCCUCC